UUUACUUUUGUGUACCCGAAAAAUCCUGUCAAAUUAAUUGUGUACUUAAUUAUCGGGCACACAGCUCAUUUCGGCGUAUUACAAUUUGCUCUCCUUCAUCAUCUAGUGCAUAAAGUAUGCCGUCGAAAAAGCUCUCGAUCUAUACGUUACAGUUUUGGAAGCGAUCGCAAGUCUGGAAAUGUACGGCAUACCCGCGUCCAAUAGUAAAAUUAACAUUAAGGUAGAGCGUGAGCUUUUAAAGAAGUGCAAAAACGUGCCGAGCAAUCUAAAAGUACGCGUGUACAAAUCACUGAAGUACGGCAUUCAACGCGGUGUCCUGGAGAAUACAUCGGAUGGGGUGCGAAUGUCAGUGGGUGCACUUUCUCUUAAGAAGUAUGACCCAAAUAAAUAUAACAAUGCUGAUGACCCAAAGAAAGGCAAUUCUCAGGACCAAGUAAACCCCAGGUUUCCUCGAUAUAAAGCUCCAAUAACGACAAUUAACGAAGUGGAUUCUUCUGAAGGUAAAACUAUCAUUCCGAAGAAUGAAAACGAAAAUAUGGAUGAUGCAGAGGAAGCGCCGCAACUACGAGGUUUCACUUUAAAGAGUGAAAAGAGCGAGAUCAGCAAGAAGCAAAUUAGUCCACAGUUCCCAUUUUUGGAGUUUGAUAAUUUAAAAUGUUUACCGUUAAAUAAAUACCUGUGAAAUGUU